GACAGAGGGUGCAAACGUUGCUCGGAAUCACUGGGCGUAAAGGGCGUGUAGGCGGGAAGGAAAGUCAGAUGUGAAAUCCCUAGGCUCAACCUAGGAACUGCAUUUGAAACUCCCUUUCUUGAGUACCGGAGAGGAAGGUGGAAUACCUGGUGUAGAGGUAAAAUUCGUAGAUAUCGAGAGGAACAUCGGUGGCGAAGGCGGCCUCUGGACGGUGACUGACGCUGAGAUGCGAAAGCGUGGGGAGCAAACAGG
rnacentral:rRNA from 1 species